GCCUCCGUAGCUCAGCGGAAGAGCACCGGGCUUCCUGUGCCCGGAUGCAGAGGUUCGAAUCCUCUCGGAGGCG
rnacentral:tRNA from 1 species